rnacentral:rRNA from 1 species
GACGAACGCUGGCGGCGUGCUUAACACAUGCAAGUCGAGCGGUAAGGCCCUUUCGGGGUACACGAGCGGCGAACGGGUGAGUAACACGUGGGUGACCUGCCCUCAGCUCUGGGAUAAGCCUGGGAAACCGGGUCUAAUACCGGAUAUGACUCCAUGACGCAUGUUGUGGGGUGGAAAGCCUUGUGCGGCUGAGGAUGGGCCCGCGGCCUAUCAGCUUGUUGGUGGGGUGAUGGCCUACCAAGGCGACGACGGGUAGCCGGCCUGAGAGGGCGACCGGCCACACUGGGACUGAGACACGGCCCAGACUCCUACGGGAGGCAGCAGUGGGGAAUCUUGCGCAAUGGGCGAAAGCCUGACGCAGCGACGCCGCGUGAGGGAUGACGGCCUGG